rnacentral:lncRNA from 1 species
GGUCCUUAGAGUGGCCGGGCUAAGCACACUAAGAAUGGUCAGGAGACAAGCCAAGUAAAGGGAGCCAGAAAACAGGAGAACAAGAAACAAGCCGAGGUCAAAGGAGUGGAGAAGACAGGAUAAUCGAAAUAACAAGCCAAAUAAUCAGUAACCAGAGAGCAAGACGAGAACACUACGCUACAGGUAUCACAAGACCACAACAGGGCACUGAGGG